rnacentral:tRNA from 1 species
UCACCUGCUGGAUGGGUGUGUUGAUCUGGGUGUUGUACGUGUUCAACAUGACGAUGUUCGCCGACGUGCGGUUCGCCGGGGUGAUC